AGUGAACGCUGGCGGUAGGCCUAACACAUGCAAGUCGAACGGCAGCACAGUAAGAUCUUGCUCUUACGGGUGGCGAGUGGCGGACGGGUGAGGAAUACAUCGGAAUCUACUUUUUCGUGGGGGAUAACGGAGGGAAACUUACGCUAAUACCGCAUACGACCUACGGGUGAAAGCAGGGGAUCUUCGGACCUUGCGCGAUUGAAUGAGCCGAUGUCGGAUUAGCUAGUUGGCGGGGUAAAGGCCCACCAAGGCAACGAUCCGUAGCUGGUCUGAGAGGAUGAUCAGCCACACUGGAACUGAGACACGGUCCAGACUCCUACGGGAGGCAGCAGUGGGGAAUCUUGGACAAUGGGCGCAAGCCUGACCCAGCCAUACCGCGUGGGUGAAGAAGGCCUUCGGGUUGUAAAGCCCUUUUGUUGGGAAAGAACAGCAGCAGGUUAAUACCCCGCUGUUCUGACGGUACCCAAAGAAUAAGCACCGGCUAACUUCGUG
rnacentral:rRNA from 1 species